UUUAGUAAGGCCUACUUCUAAGAGCGUAACGUCUAGGUGUUUUUGUUAUUUUUAAAGAGUUCUCAUAUUCUUGUCUAUCUUCUGGGGAUAACUUUGCAAGUUUUUCCGGCUUCAUUGGAAUAUAUUUUGGUCGGUCGCUCAAUAUAAAACGUUCAUAAUCCUCUCUUGCUUCCGGAGUCAUUCGCGCUAGGUCACGUUCGGUCCAAUCUGCCGGAUAUUUUAUUUGUCCAUUUUUGGUGUGAACUCCAAUCCACCCUUCUUAGUGUUAGACGUACCAUACGAACAUAGCUCGCAGAAACCAAUGACAUGCGAAAACAGUAGAGGUGACUGUUCAUCACAUAUCAUACAUUGAGCGUCUUUGCCCCAGUAGAAAUCUUUCCACGAACAUCUUGGGCACUUCAUUAAGUAUACAAUGUGACCAGUUUCUUCACCACAAUGGUUACAAGCUAGUUUCUCGGGCUCACCAUCAUCCUCAUUAUCAUCAUCCUCAUUAUCAUCAUAUUCGCUUUCAUUAUCAUUCUUGUCAGAUUCCCUGUUCUCUUCAUCAGAUUCGCUUUCAACAUCACUCUCAGAUUGUGGCAUUUCAUGUUCCUCCUUUGCCAUUUUUGACAAUAAAUGCUCAUUUUUAAUUAAAUCUUUAUUAACCCCUGCUUCUACUAAACCUUUUGUAAACAGGUCAAGCCCUCGUGGUUCAGGAAUGUGAGAGUUGUAUGGUAAAAGUGCGUAUUGUAAAAGGUUCUCGAUGUUAGUACGAGCAAUGUCUCUUCCAUGAUAAACAAUCUCCCCCUGAGGAUUCCAAGUUAAUAGAUCACUUGAUAUAAGAAUAGAAUGUAGAAUUUUUUCUGCUGUAGCUUUUUUGACAUUAUUGUUGAGAUACAAAAGUAUAUCUUCAAUGCGCUAAUGUCGCGGAGAUGUUUUACUCUCGAUGUUCAUUGUUGAAAUGAUGUAUAAAUUGUAGUCACAGGGCUUUUAUACAAGUUCAGCCAGGCUUUCCAAAAUAGGACUUAGUAAUAGUCCAAGGAAACCUUCACCACGUUGAACGAGUAUCCGUUUUUUUCUUCUUCCACAUUUUCCUCUAUCUGCCAACCUAAGCAUUUCAUUUUUGUAAGGUCGGAGUUUCUUCAUCACAUGCUUCGGCAUUAAAUAUUUUCUUUUCAUAACGUUUUCUACACAGAAACACAGGCAGUGUACUUGUUCGGCGCUUGCUGUUUCCAGUAGUGCUUGUUGUUGAUCAGGCUCGGACGUGCCCAACAAUUCAAGAUAUGGCUUGUGCCUUAGAAGAUUGAUCAUUUCUGUUCGACGGUUUGGAAGCAAAUGAGUAAAACACAACAAUAAGGAAGCUUAUAUCGGAAGAGAGAAAGCAAUUUAUACAAGGCUCCGAGUUAUUGAGAGCUUGACUCUGAGCUUAUCGAACCUGGCUCCUUGUGCAUGUCAGAUAAGGAAGAUAAGAGGAUAAAUAUAAGGAAGAUAAGGAUAAGGAAGAUAAGAAGAUAAAGAUAGGAAGAUAAAGAUAAGAAGAUAAAGAUAACGAUAACGAUAAAGAAGAUAAAGAUAAGGAUAAAGAUAAGAAGAUAAAGAUAAGGAUAAAGAUAAGAAGAUUAGGAUAAAGAUAAGGAAGAUAAAGAUAAGGAAGAUUAAAGAUAAGGAUAAGGAACAUAAAGAUUAAGAUAAGGAUAAAGAUAAGGAAGAUAAAGAUAAGGAUAAAAAUAAAGAUAAGGAUAAGGAUAAAGAUAAGAGGAUAAAGAUAAAGAUAAGGAAGAUAAGGAAGAUAAAGAAAAGGAAGA